UGAAUAAACAUUGUUUUUCCAUCUGAAUCAUCAUUAUGGUUGAUAUUGAAAUUUCAAUGCAAAAUAAAUGUUGAAUCACCAUUACCAUAUCGAUGAAAACCUGAUGUUAUUAAUGUUGAUGGCAACAAUAUUGGAACAACAUUGAUCUAUAGUUAUCUUUAUGAUUGAUUAAGCAUUGAUAUUUGGUUACCGCGGGUGAUCCCUGAAUGUGUUGAAAAGUUAUUGAUUUAUAGUGGACAGAGAAACGAUGCGGUUGUUGAAAAGUCAUCGAAAUAUAGUUGACCGGGAAAUAUGAUUGAAAAAGCAUCGAAAUAUAGUUGACCGGGAAAUAUGAUUGAAAAUCCAUCGAUUUUUGGUUGACCGGGAGAUCAACGGGUGGUAUACCCAACGUACUGCACUGGACACAGCUCAUUUCUGGACCCUUGGCACAAGCGUACAGGUAAGCUUGCUUAAUUUUCUAUAUGAACCCAGACAGCACAGGCACGCGGUGUGUUUUUAUACAGUCUGUGGGCAGCUGAAGAGACUGGCUCAUUUUCAAAUAAUGUUACCGUUAACUUGUUUAGACAACGGUCACGGUAAAUUAAUGUUAAAGCCUUGCGUUUCCAGCAGUUUCUCGGAGGGAAAAUGUAAAAGCGGUUUAUUAAAGAGAAGUCCUGACUGCUUUAUCGUCGUGUUUUUCACUGUUUUACAGGCUGCCAGAAAGAAUCCGUCUCUAUAGUGAGUGAUUAUUGAAUGAGGCUGUACAUUAUAAAUGUAAUGUUUUAACUCGAGAUGUUUGUUUGUGUGAAUGCUGUGUGUGCGGUGAGUUCUGCGCGAGCGGGGAGCAGAGUUGCCAUGGAAACGGGGCGUCAACACAAAAACCGUUACUGGCAAGCAGUAAUCUCCUUCUCUCGCUGCGGUUUACACUGUUUUAGAAAUGGUUUAGUGUCUUCGAAAAAGUCUGUUAGCGUCUUAGCAGUUUUCAGGAUGACAGAAAGAAACUCUACAGAACAAAGUAAAACUCCAAGAUUUUUGAAAAGAAAAUUGGUGAAAUAUAUUCUGAAAAAGGCAUAUUAAUGUAUUUCAUGAGCUUCUUCAGUUCACCUGUAUUUCUAAGUCAGUAUCUCCCUUCAGAAAUGUGGCUGACGGGAGAUACUGACUUAGAAAUACAGGUGAACUCAAAAAGCUCAUGAAAUACUCAUGAAAGAAGCUCAUGAAAUACAUUAAUAUGCCUUUUUCAGAAUAUAUUUCACCAAUUUUAAGAAGUCCCUGACAUCAAAACAGUAAAUAUUGUUGUCUCUGUGUCAGAUGGCUUAUUUUGUUCCUGGACUCUUCAGUGAUGAUGAGCAGAGUCUGAGUGAACCUGCUGUCAGACAGGUUGGGCCGAUAGACGAUUCCAUCGUCCAUCGCCGAUGGCUGAUAGACAUCACGAUGCUGCGCCGGCAAACAGCGUCAUGAGCUCCAGUAUCUCGUGCGUGCAUCCGUUGUCAUGCAACAGAGAAGUUGCGUCUAUGGACAGUUGUGAACGCGCUGACAGCUGGUUGCCCAGGCUUUGGGUUAAAGGAGCCACCGGUAUUUGGUCCUGUUGUUUUUUUCUCAAAAACCAGCAGCCGCUGACUUGCAUUUAAGAAUCACCAAGGGCAACGGUUUCACCUAAAACACCUUUACUGUUCUACUGCAAAAACCUUGGAUGACCUGAGGGUGAGUAAAUUAACAGCAAAUUUUCAUUUUGGGGUGAACCAUCCCUUUAAAUGCAGAGUAAAUUUCCCUACAUGCUCAGUAAAAGUAAUCAGCCAAUACACUGGUGACGGGAAUGACGACGCCCAAAGCAGCAGAACUGUACAAAUGCUGGACAUUCACACACCGCACCACAGUAUUAUCAACUAGAGAUUGACCAAUAGUGGAUUUUACCGAUACUGAUAGCUAGGUUGGACCACACUGGCCAAUAUACCAAAUUUGUCAACCAAUAGUUUUUAAAAUGGAUACUGAAUGAAA